rnacentral:lncRNA from 10 species
AGGCCUGGCUGGCUUUACCCCCUGCCUAUUAUACAGCCCCUGGACCUUGAACAAAAACAUAGACAGUAGCCAGGGAGUGGUUACAGCAGGCCUUGGGCAAGACCCAGUGCUAUCCUGGAUUUAUGUCUGGCCCAGUGCAAUAAUAGUGGUAGUGGCCACACAGGUGCUUGUGUCACUCCACUCUGAGCUUCAGGAUAUCCAUCACUUCAUGCAUUUAUUAUUUCCUUGUGGUGAGAACAUUCCAAAGCGUGUCUUCUAGAUAUUUUGUAACAUAUAAUACCUUGCUAUUAACUCAUCAUCACCCUACUGUGCAAUAGAACACCAAAACUUAUUCCUUCUAUGUACUUGUAAAUUUAUUGCUGUUAACCAACUUUUCCCAUUCUCCCUCCCUCUUCUCCUCCCAUGUCUGGUAAGUACUGUUCUACUCUCUGCUUCUAUAAGAUGAACCUUUUGCUUUCAUUUUUAG